UGAGGAAGCUGCUGAUUCUGAAGGGCUCAAGGGUGUCCAGAAAGUGGUAUUCUACUACCUUUACAAGGUUGCCGACCUCCCCUUCUUGGGCGAUCACAAGGUAAAAUUUUUGGAGUUUCUUGAAAAGGCCAAGAAACAGCCCAACCUCACAAUUGGAGUCCUACUCUCCUUUGUUGUUGUCUUCUUCACAAUUUUAUUGAAGCUUGUAUUUGGUGGGAAAAAGCCGACUAAAGUUCCUGCAAAGACAAGGACACAGACAAAAAAGUCCGAUUCUGUAGAAACUUCCAAUAAUCAGGAAAGCUCAAAGGAGAAGGAAGAGCAGAAUGAAGAUCCUGCUGCACCUCGUAGAAGGAACACCAGGCGUGAGAAUUAGGGUACAAGGAUAGAAAUCAUUCGUGCUAUGAAAAUUAGGGAAGAAGGUAGACAACACGCUGGCAACCAUCACUGAAUCAUUUUUUUCCAUCUUGAAUUCUGCACUUCAUGAUUAGGCCCUUUCUUUCUUUCUAUUUUUUUUGUAGUUCUGUUUCUGCUAAUUAGCGUCUGUCAAUGUAAAUAACACCAUCUAUUGAGAUGUGUUAAUCUUUAUGUUAAAAGAUGGGAUUUUUGAAAUUUGACGAUAAUUUUUGUAGAUUAAGAUGUCCUUUCUAUUGAGCCCUUCUGCUUA